rnacentral:pre_miRNA from 1 species
AAAAUAUUCCCUCCGUUUCGAAUUACUUGUCACAUAUAUGGAUGUAUCUAGAUGUAUUUUAGCUCUCUAAAUACAUCCAUUUCUGAGACGAGUAAUUUAGAACGAAGGGAGUAGUAU